rnacentral:rRNA from 1 species
UACGUAGGGUCCAAGCGUUGUCCGGAGUUACUGGGCGUAAAGCGCGCGCAGGUGGUCCACUAAGCCCGGCGUGAAAGCCCCCGGCUCAACCGGGGAGGGUCGUCGGGGACUGGUGGACUUGAGGGUGGCAGGGGCUGGUGGAAUUCCCGGUGUAGUGGUGAAAUGCGUAGAGAUCGGGAGGAACACCCGUGGCGAAGGCGGCCAGCUGGGCCAACCCUGGACACUGAGGCGCGAAGGCGUGGGGAGGCGAACGGGG